AAGGCUUUAAGUUAAAUAAACUAAUAGCCUUCAAAGCUAUAAAUAUAAGAGUAUCUUUUAAGCCUUA
rnacentral:tRNA from 1 species